CUGAAAGGGAGAGAACAAGCCAAGCCUUUUCACAUUCACAGUCCUUUCUCCUUGUCACCCUCUCUGCAAAUACAUUUCUUCGAACAAUUUAUAUGCGUUCAAGAUAGUUUCUCUUCAAUUUCUCGUGCACUUCACAUUCCGGCAGGAGCCAUGCCUCCGGCAACCGCUCUCUCCACCCCUUUCUCUUUUACUCUCUUGCCACUCCCUCCUCCUUCAACCAAGAAAACCCCUUCGCAUUUAUCUUGUAUCGGUGUGACUACCAGAAGUCCAUUCACUCGCAAUUACAAUCUCAAUUGUCGUCGUUUUAGUGUGAUUUGCUCUGCUAUUGAGAAGGAAACCCUGGUGACUGAGCGGCCUCAAACCUUCCUUCGAGAAUCCGAUGGCAUUGCUUCUUCUUCCUCAUCCUCCUCAGUGAGGGCUCGGUUUGAGGCAAUGAUAAGGGAGGCGCAGGACAGAGUCUGUCAGGCCAUCGAGGUCGUUGAUGGCGGUGGCCGUUUUAAGGAGGAUGUCUGGUCUAGGCCAGGAGGUGGCGGUGGCAUUAGCAGGGUCCUUCAAAACGGUACCGUUUGGGAGAAGGCUGGUGUUAAUGUGUCGGUUGUCUACGGUGUUAUGCCUCCUGAGGCCUACCGUGCUGCCAAGGCUGCUGCUUCAAACCAUAAGCCCGGUCCCAUUCCUUUCUUUGCAGCUGGAAUCAGCUCGGUCUUGCAUCCAAAGAACCCUUUUGCACCAACUUUGCAUUUUAAUUAUCGGUAUUUUGAGACUGAUGCUCCAAAAGAUGUUCCUGGGGCACCAAGGCAGUGGUGGUUUGGUGGUGGUACAGAUUUGACUCCUGCAUACAUUGUUGAGGAGGAUGUUAGACACUUCCAUACGAUUCAAAAACAAGCCUGUGACAAGUUUGAUCCUACAUUUUAUCCCCGAUUUAAGAAAUGGUGUGAUGAUUAUUUCUACAUUCAGCACCGAGGUGAGAGGCGAGGGCUUGGAGGAAUAUUUUUUGAUGAUCUAAAUGACCAUGAUCAGGAGAUGCUUCUUUCAUUUGCUACUGAAUGUGCCAAUUCUGUAAUUCCUGCUUACAUACCCAUUAUUGAGAAAAGGAAGGACUUGCCAUUCUCUGAUAGGCACAAGGAAUGGCAGCAACUGCGUCGAGGGCGCUAUGUUGAGUUCAACUUGGUUUAUGAUCGGGGUACAACAUUUGGGCUGAAGACAGGAGGACGAAUUGAGAGUAUUCUUGUUUCCCUCCCAUUGACUGCACGGUGGGAAUAUGACCAUAAACCUGAAGAGGGAACUGAAGAGUGGAAGUUACUAGAUGCUUGCAUCAAUCCAAAGGAAUGGAUCUAAUUAUUCUCAACUGAGUAUUGUAUCAUUUUGAGCCUUCCCCAUCCUCUUUCUUUUCUUCUUUGUGCAUGAGCAAUUUUGUUGCAACGGAAUUAGAGUUCAAUUCCAGCAAUCAAUCCAGGCAUGAGAGAUGGCAUUUCAAUCAUUCUAUGAUUCUAUCCUUUGCUGCCUUUGUUCGAUACUGCCUGCCAGACAUCUUUGAGUUACUUCUAUCAACCGGUGUGUACCAUUCAUCUCCCCCCAUAUCACAAGCUUGACUAUCUACUGUGUCCCAAGCAUCAAUACCGACGGCAGGAUUGCUUCCCUGUGUGGACUUCUUCCAAAUAACAUCCUGAUUUUGCUUUGAAUCUUGUGACUUUAUUGUCAGGAAUCAUAACAGCACCAACUUUCUUUUUCGGGAUGAAGAAACUGAUUUUGGAAGACCAUAGGAAGCAUUAUCAGGCUAUGCAUUCCAGAAUCCCAGAGGGAUGGUCCUGAGGCAACAAGAGGGUUGCUUCAUUCGAAUUAUUAUUAGUUUCUUCAAUCAAGAAGGGCAAAGUCCCAUGACAAUCUCCAUGUUGAAACUUUGUGGUCUACAACUACUGUCAUGAUUGCUGAGAGCAUGGUUCCGUCAAGCAGAAGACCCAAGAGAAAUAUCUCUCACAAGAUGGGUGCAAUGAUUUUGCUUUUGUUGUUCCUGCAACAUAUGAGCAUGGAGACCAAAUAGUAAAUUUUUGGGUUCUUUCAUGUAAAAGUGCAAGUAUAGCUCAUGUCUCUAUCGAAGGCUACCUUGGCAACUGCAACAAAUCCUGCAACGC